CGGCGGACGGGGGAGCAACGCGUGGGUAACCUGCCUCAUACAGGGGGAUAACAGUUGGAAACGGCUGCUAAUACCGCAUAAGCGCACAGUACCGCAUGGUACCGUGUGAAAAACUCCGGUGGUAUGAGAUGGACCCGCGUCUGAUUAGCUAGUUGGUGGGGUAACGGCCUACCAAGGCGACGAUCAGUAGCCGACCUGAGAGGGUGACCGGCCACAUUGGGACUGAGACACGGCCCAA
rnacentral:rRNA from 1 species